ensembl:lncRNA
GCACGGAUAAGACCAUAAACCAAACAAUGUAACAUACCAACCGCUAGUUGUUUUGUUCUUGAUUACAUUCAGGAAACAGGUUAAGAACCAGUCAAAAUGCUUGAAAAAGUAUUUAAUAGAAAAAGGGCAAAACUCACUUUGAUUAAUAAUGGGAAGUAAAGGACAUUAAUUUCAGGUUGCAGACCUUAAUGUUUUUAUCCAUUUAAGUGGACAAGAACAACACGUUGGGUUAAAAAUGAGGGCAGGAGUUAACAAAUGCAAUAAUUGUAAACAUACUUCUGAUGACAAGUAGCUCUGCCAUGCAUCAAGGCAGUUCUGAAAAGUACAUGAAAUCUGUGUUGAUAUGUAUUUUGUUUCUCCCUGGAUUUUUCCCUUAUCAUGUCAAAUGCUGCCGUGUUUACUGAAGCUGACACAAUCAGUGUAUACUCUAGCAGCAGACGUGCCAAACAAUGGAUUGAGAAAGGGAGGGUAGGGAGUCAGGGGAAGAGCCGGAGAGAGAGACUGUCAAAGACAGUGAGAGAGAGGAUAGCCCCAUUGACUGGUUGUGUGUAAAAAUAGUAAGGUUAUAUGAGCGCUAGGACAUUCUGUUGAUAUUAGUACCCCGUUAUGUUUGAUAACAAGCAGUAUCAUGCAUUGUCAAUCCAUCAAGGUUUCCCAGGAGAUUCUGGACUUGGCAACUGUGUUAGAGUGAAUUCCUCAUGAAAGCCUUGAGUGUCAGAUUAAAAGGGCCCUCUCACCCUGACGGUUGGGUACAGAGAUUGCUGGGACAGUGUUACCCGGGAACGCGUUAUGCCCGCUUGGGAGUCUUGGCUGGUGAGUAAAAGCCAUGAAUGUCAAUCUGUAAUAUCCACAUCAUAAUUGGUUGGACUGUUGUUCUCACUUCAUAACUGAAGGAUUCUCAAGGUAAGUCAAGCCAGAUGAAAGUGGUUUCUAAUUUGACAAUGAUUUGGUACAGUUUCCCCUACUAAUGAUGAGUGCACCAAUGCCACAAAUAAAAUAUCUGUUAUUCUCCAUCUUCAUAUUAAAGCAAUAUAUUGUUAUUAUUAGUGGGUAAUGAUGGAAGACAUUGAAAUAGCAAGGCGACUGUGGGCAGUGUUGUUUGGCUGCUGGAAAUCAUAUGACAUUUUUAAUCUGUGUUGUGAUAAUCAGUACUUAAUAUUGCCUACCCACUCCAAAUGUCUACAAGUUACACAUGAAACGCUGUAUCUAUGACUAAAAAUAUCAGAUAGUAAACAUCAGAGGCAGAGGUUUAUGGCAAACCCUCAUGCAAAUUAUUCAGCAUCUAGGGAAAACAAUCCCUGUAUGCUGGUAUAGCGUUGUUCUGAUGCAGCGGGGACAAUAGCGGAACAAUGCUGCAGGGUCCAUUGCCAACUGCAGUUUCCAGCAAACCAAUUCAUUCCAUCAGGUUAAACCUGUCUGGCUUUACUUUGCCUGGCUAACCCAAAUAUGAGUCUUGUACAGGUAGCCUACCAGUAGCCUACAACUGUGCAUUUACUCCUUUUGUUACUCCAUCAAGACGCUAGUAUAAUUCACCUCAUAGCUGUUUAUUUUUGGUUUCAAGAGUUACUUGUUCAUUCAAUUAGUUCUGUUGAGUUAUUCUUGUGGGGGGGCUGAGCGUAAACUAAUAUUCAGACACUAUGAAAGGGCGGAUCCAUAUUUAGCUUGUCAGGCGCGUAGUGUUACGGAUGUACUCCUAGUGCCAUCUUGUGGUUUUAUGAGAGGAAUGCCAUUUUGAAACACUGAUCUCUACUGUUGCUUUAUGUUUUUUAUUACCAUAUGCCCCAUUGUAUGAUAUCCUACGCUUUAGCUUGUCAGUUUGACAAUGUAAAAUAAUAAGGCCUCACAGCAACGUUGAAUUUUUUUGCACGCCAAAACCAGUGGGAUAGGGAAGGAUUGCCAACAGGAAUGCAAUCAUCACACAUUUUAUUCUAGCUUGGCUCCCGUCUUGUUUUGUGAAUGAUCUAUAGUGUUUAUUCAUGCCAAUGUAUAGUAACUUAAAAUAGCAACAGGCUAGCUAUGCUAGCUAUUCUACCAAUCUUAGGUUAUAUAUGCCACAAUUUACCUAAGGUACUAGGCAGAAGUAUUAAUGACUUUUCUUAUCUCACACUCAACACCGUUGCAACGAAGUAACCCUGACUGCAGUGUUUAGUUCAGGGCUG